AGGAGAAGUCAGAGAGAUUUGAGAAAUAAGGAGCAUUCCAAGUGCAGUUGUUGGUUUUGAAGAUGAAAGAGCUGUGUGAGAAGACUCGUCCUCCAGCUGAAAGGACCAGGAUUCUGCCAAUAACUUGAAUAAGUUCAAAAGCAGAUUCUUCCCAGCGUUCUGGACAAGAGCCCAGCCUGACAAACCCUUGGUUUCAGCUGUGAGAUUUUGAGCAGAGGACCCAGAUGAGCCCACCCAGUCUUCUGACCUACAGAACUAAUGUAAGCUCGAUGAGAGUUUCAGGAUGCUGAAGGUUCUGAGAUUUUACUUACGAGCUAAUAAGCUGGCCUGUCACAGUUAAAUGAAUGCUGGCAGAAGACACAAGACUCCUGGAUCAGAGCCAAAGGACUUUACAGCACAGGAAGUGGCUUAUGCAUCAGUUCUCCUUGCUUCCAAGUGCAGAUGGAGAUGUCCAGAUGGAUGCUGCACAUGAAGGAGUUGCAGGUGUACACCCCAGCGAUUAGAUAUUAUAUCACUCACUAAGUGACCAUCC